AAUCAACGCUGGCGGCGUGCCUCAGACAUGCAAGUCGAACGCGAAAGUCCCCUUCGGGGGACAAGUAGAGUGGCGCACGGGUGAGUAACACGUAGGUAAUCUACCUUCGGAUGGGGAAUAACAAUCGGAAACGGUUGCUAAUACCGCAUAAUGCAGCGGCACCUAAUGGUGACAGUUGUUAAAGCGGGGGAUCGAAAGACCUCGCGUCUGAAGAGGAGCCUGCGGCGGAUAGCUAGUUGGUAAGGUAACGGCUUACCAAGGCGACGAUCCGUAGCCGGCCUGAGAGGGCGGUCGGCCACACUGACACUGACAUACGGGUCAGACUCCUACGGGAGGCAGCAGUCGGGAAUUUUGGGCAAUGGGCGAAAGCCUGACCCAGCAACGCCGCGUGAAGGAUGAAAUCCCUCGGGAUGUAAACUUCGCAAGAACGGGAAGAAUAAGU
rnacentral:rRNA from 1 species